GCAUAUCAAUAAGCGGAGGAAAAGAAACUAACAAGGAUUCCCCUAGUAGCGGCGAGCGAAGCGGGAAAAGCUCAAAUUUGUAAUCUGGCGCUUUCGGCGUCCGAGUUGUAAUCUCGAGAAGUGUUUUCCGCGUCAGACCGCACACAAGUCUCCUGGAACGGAGCGUCAUAGUGGUGAGAACCCAGUACACGGUGCGGAUGCCUGAUGCUUUGUGAUACACUUUCGAAGAGUCGAGUUGUUUGGGAAUGCAGCUCAAAUUGGGUGGUAAAUUCCAUCUAAAGCUAAAUAUUGGCGAGAGACCGAUAGCGAACAAGUACCGUGAGGGAAAGAUGAAAAGCACUUUGGAAAGAGAGUUAACAGUACGUGAAAUUGUUGGAAGGGAAACGCUUGAAGUCAGACUUGCUAUUCGGAGCUUGCUUCGAUUCGCAGGCCCGCAUCAGUUUUUCGGGGCGGAAAAUCGUAGAGAGAAGGUAGCAGUUUCGGCUGUGUUAUAGCUUUCUACUGGAUUCGUCCUGGGGGACUGAGGAACGCAGCGUGCUUUUUGCAUGGGCUUCGGCCUAUCCACGCUUAGGAUGCGGGUGGAAUGGCUUUAAACGACCCGUCUUGAAACACGGACCAAGGAGUCUAACAUGCUUGCGAGUAUUUGGGUGUCAAACCCGGAUGCGCAAUGAAAGUGAAUGGAGGUGGGAAGCGCAAGCUGCACCAUCGACCGAUCUGGAUUUUCUAAGAUGGAUUUGAGUAAGAGCAAGUAUGUUGGGACCCGAAAGAUGGUGAACUAUGCCUGAAUAGGGUGAAGCCAGAGGAAACUCUGGUGGAGGCUCGUAGCGGUUCUGACGUGCAAAUCGAUCGUCAAAUUUGGGUAUAGGGGCGAAAGACUAA
rnacentral:rRNA from 1 species